rnacentral:rRNA from 1 species
GACGAACCGUGCGAACGUUGUUCGGAAUCACUGGGCUUAAAGGGCGCGUAGGCGGGCUGCCAAGUCUGGGGUGAAAUCCCACGGCUCAACCGUGGAACUGCCUCGGAUACUGGCGGUCUCGAGGGAGGUAGGGGCAUGCGGAACUGUGGGUGGAGCGGUGAAAUGCGUAGAUAUCGAGAGGAACACCUGCGGCGAAGGCGGGUUGCUGGGCCGACACUGACGCUGAUGCGCGAAAGCCAGGGGAGCGAACGGG